UACAGAGGGUGCAAGCGUUAAUCGGAAUUACUGGGCGUAAAGCGUGCGUAGACGGUUAUAUAAGUCGGAUGUGAAAGCCCCGGGCUCAACCUGGGAAUUGCAUUCGAGACUGUGUAGCUAGGAUGCGGAAGAGGGAAGCGGAAUUUCCGGUGUAGCGGUGAAAUGCGUAGAUAUCGGAAGGAACACCAGUGGCGAAAGCGGCUUCCUGGUCCAGCAUCGACGUUCAGGCACGAAAGCGUGGGGAGCAAACAGG
rnacentral:rRNA from 1 species